AAAUGUUGUUUGUUAGUAAUUAUUUUGGCUCGUAAAACAUGAUACGGUGUAAAGGUAAUAUUUUCUAGUUUACUAACCGACUGUCCCUAGAGCAAGUGACAAAGGGCUUGGUUGUUGGUAUCCGAGAUCCAAGUUCGAAUCCUAGUUGAUUCACAUUUCUAGCUAAGUUUAUUUCUAAAUGAAAUAAACGAAGCGGGUAGCGUGCUACGUACCUAUUUCUCAAACAAAAUUUUUUUUUUUGUUCAGUACUAUGUCAUAA
rnacentral:lncRNA from 1 species